rnacentral:rRNA from 1 species
AAGGUGGUGAAGCAAUUGAUGCCCCGCUUCCAGGAAAAGCCUCUAAGCUUCAGGUUACCAACAAUCGUACCCCAAACCGACACAGGUGGUCAGGUAGAGAAUACUCAGGCGCUUGAGAGAACUCGGGUGAAGGAACUAGGCAAAAUGGUGCCGUAACUUCGGGAGAAGGCACGCUGGCGGUAGGUAAAGUCCCUCGCGGACGGCGCUGAAGCCAGUCGAAGAUACCAGCUGGCUGCAACUGUUUAUUAAAAACACAGCACUGUGCAAACACGAAAGUGGACGUAUACGGUGUGACGCCUGCCCGGUGCUGGAAGGUUAAUUGAUGGGGUUAGCGUAAGCGAAGCUCCUGAUCGAAGCCCCAGUAAACGGCGGCCGUAACUAUAACGGUCCUAAGGUAGCGAAAUUCCUUGUCGGGUAAGUUCCGACCUGCACGAAUGGCGUAAUGAUGGCCAGGCUGUCUCCACCCGAGACUCAGUGAAAUUGAACUCGCUGUGAAGAUGCAGUGUACCCGCGGCAAGACGGAAAGACCCCGUGAACCUUUACUAUAGCUUGACACUGAACAUUGAGCCUUGAUGUGUAGGAUAGGUGGGAGGCUUUGAAGUGUGGACGCCAGUCUGCAUGGAGCCAACCUUGAAAUACCACCCUUUAACGUUUGAUGUUCUAACCUAGGCCCAUAAACUGGGUCGGGGACCGUGUCUGGUGGGUAGUUUGACUGGGGCGGUCUCCUCCUAAAGAGUAACGGAGGAGCACGAAGGUUGGCUAAGCAUGGUCGGACAUCAUGCGGUUAGUGCAAAGGCAUAAGCCAGCUUGACUGCGAGAGUGACGGCUCGAGCAGGUACGAAAGUAGGUCUUAGUGAUCCGGUGGUUCUGAAUGGAAGGGCCAUCGCUCAACGGAUAAAAGGUACUCCGGGGAUAACAGGCUGAUACCGCCCAAGAGUUCAUAUCGACGGCGGUGUUUGGCACCUCGAUGUCGGCUCAUCACAUCCUGGGGCUGAAGUAGGUCCCAAGGGUAUGGCUGUUCGCCAUUUAAAGUGGUACGCGAGCUGGGUUUAGAACGUCGUGAGACAGUUCGGUCCCUAUCUGCCGUGGGCGUUGGAAGAUUGAGAGGGGUUGCUCCUAGUACGAGAGGACCGGAGUGAACGCACCACUGGUGUUCGGGUUGUCAUGCCAAUGGCAUUGCCCGGUAGCUAAGUGCGGAAGAGAUAACCGCUGAAAGCAUCUAAGCGGGAAACUUGCCUCGAGAUGAGUCUUCCCUGUCGCUUUAAGCGACCUAAAGGAACGUUUAAGACUAAGACGUUGAUAGGCUGGGUGUGUAAGCGUAGCGAUACGUUGAGCUAACCAGUACUAAUGAACCGUGAGGCUUAACCUG